UGCUGAGGUUGAGGCUGAGAACUUGCAUUGGCUGAAGACUUGCAGCUGGAACCAGAUAGGAAGUAAGCUUCUGGAAGCACUAAAAUGAAUUGUCACUCCCACUCUCGAUACCCACAGCUUCAAAACCACCAGAUGCUGACAGCUGCUGUGGAAAUCUAAGCAAGUGGAGGGAUAUCCAGAUUGAGCUGGCCAAGUUUGGUACAAGAGCUAAGAGUCUGGGAACAAUGGGAGGUCAGCUUUCUGUGUCACUGUGGAUACAAAGGAAGUACUUUUGAGACACAGACAGGAAGUGACUGAGGACUUUAAGGGCAGCUUGGGCUAUCCAGGAAAGUUCUUCAUUCUUGUUUUUUUCUGCUGAGGCUCUAGAGGGACACCUGUCAGACUGACCAAGGCCGAAGAUGGCUCCCUACCAGAGAGAUUCAACUGAGGGCUUGCGAUAGGUCUUGUGACAUUGCUAUUGAUCUUGAGACAUUCAUCUGAAGCAUGAUUGUCACUGGCUUCAAACUUUCCUCAUCAUAAGAGAGGGACUGGGUCUACUUCAAAUGUUUCGCACUAAUGAAGUUAACAUUCCCUUUCAUGGUGAGCUCUGCCCUCAUCAUGAGACCAUGCCCAGGCUAGUCUGCUGGAAGGAAGUCAGAGGCACACGGAAGAGAGCCACAUUCAGCCAAGGCCAUUCUAGACCAGUUGUUCCCUGUCACUUCACUAAUUGGCCACAGCACAAGGUUUUGUUGAAGAUUGAAUGAGUGUGUAAAGUGCCCAACAGAAAGUCUGGCACAUGGUACACGGAUGGAGCUGGAAGCCAUUAUCCUCAGCAAACUAA
rnacentral:lncRNA from 1 species